rnacentral:rRNA from 1 species
UACAGAGGGUGCAAGCGUUGUUCGGAAUUAUUGGGCGUAAAGCGCGUGUAGGCGGCUUUGCAAGUCGGGUGUGAAAGCCCUCAGCUUAACUGAGGAAGUGCGCCCGAAACUGCAUGGCUUGAGUACCGGAGAGGGUGGCGGAAUUCCCCAAGUAGAGGUGAAAUUCGUAGAUAUGGGGAGGAACACCAGUGGCGAAGGCGGCCACCUGGACGGAUACUGACGCUGAGACGCGAAAGCGUGGGUAGCGAACAGG